GCUUGUCUCAAAGAUUAAGCCAUGCAUGUCUAAGUAUAAACAACUUUAUACUGUGAAACUGCAGAUGGCUCAUUAAAUCAGUUAUAAUCUAUUUGAUGAUUACUUACUACAUGGAUAACCGUGGUAAUUCUAGAGCUAAUACAUGCGCAAAGUCCCAACUUUCGGGGAGGGAUGUAUUUAUUAGACGAAAAACCAAUGCGGGUUCUGCCCGGUUUUGCGGUGAUUCAUAAUAACUUGUCGAACCGCACGCCCUUGAGGCAGCGGUGAUUCAUUCAAAUUUCUGCCCUAUCAGCUUUCGACGGUACUGUAGUGGACUACCGUGGCAUUAACGGGUGACGGAGAAUUAGGGUUCGAUUCCGGAGAGGGAGCCUGAGAAAUGGCUACCACAUCCAAGGAAGGCAGCAGG
rnacentral:rRNA from 1 species